GGGAUAGCCCGGCGAAAGCCGGAUUAAUACCGCAUACGAUCUACGGAUGAAAGCGGGGGACCUUCGGGCCUCGCGCUAUAGGGUUGGCCGAUGGCUGAUUAGCUAGUUGGUGGGGUAAAGGCCUACCAAGGCGACGAUCAGUAGCUGGUCUGAGAGGACGACCAGCCACACUGGGACUGAGACACGGCCCAG
rnacentral:rRNA from 1 species